rnacentral:tRNA from 2 species
GCGGGUGUAGCUCAAUGGUAGAGCCUCAGCCUUCCAAGCUGAUGAUGGGGGUUCGAUUCCCCUCACCCGCU